GAGGCAGUGGGAGCGUCUGCCCUUUCCUAAGUCUCCUUGGAAAGAAGUAUUCGCUUUCGUUUCCGCAAACAAAGCAUGCUCCGCGCUUUCAGGACCGGUGGCUCCCGUGGAGACCGCAGCGGAACCCAGUCCGCCUUCGCACGCGUCCGGGGGAGAAGCGGCCCCAGGACUAAGGGCGCGCGCCCGAGGAACCGGUGCUGUGACGACCAGAGCAAACACGCCGGAUGUUCCUGUGUAGGCUGUGUAAGGAGUGACCGGAAGUAGAAACUGGGUGCUCCAGUGGCGCAAUCGGUUAGCGCGCGGUACUUAUAUGGCAGUAUGUGUGCGAGUGAUGCCGAGGUUGUGAGUUCGAGCCUCACCUGGAGCAUUGUUUUCCAACCCAAAAUAGCAUUACUUGAAGUGCCUUUCCCCCUGUAAUCCGACUCCAUCGUCUUUAACGUGUUUGGAAUUGUGUACACAGUUUAUUGUUAUUGGUUUCCUUAGCCUUUUUAGAACCAAGCAACGCCAAUUACCAACAAAAUCCGUUGCGCCGCAGUGAGUUAGCUACCUUCUAUCUCCACUUUGUUCUGCACGUCGAUCUCAGGAGAAGCCAGCUCCCAUGUUAAGAAGUUCAAAUACCUAGAGACUGCGAUGGUUUGCAGAGGCUCAAGCUAACCACAUGGAAAGACAUGGAGAGAUAUUCCUUGCCAACCCUCAACUACUCCAACUAUUCUAAGACAUCAAACCUAAAAACAAACCGCAGGUCACCCACCGGUCUGAAGAGGAGGAUGAGAGACAAAGAAAAAAGUUGUCUGGCUGCCUCUGCUGUCUACAGAUUGAAGAAGAUCCAUCCAGCUGAGCCCAGCCUAGACCAGCUGACUUCUCCAAUAAGCCUGUAUGAAAUAAAUGCUUAUUGUUAUGUGA
rnacentral:lncRNA from 1 species